ACAUCUGUAUAUACCUUUGUUCC
rnacentral:miRNA from 1 species